rnacentral:lncRNA from 1 species
UCGGCAAAUGGUAACGGAAAUUCAAUGUCAAAAGAUAACGUUUCUCUCGAGAAGUAAUUCUCUAAAUACAACUUGUUAUGGAACUAACAAGUCCUAACAAGCCAACAUUAUACGGAAAUAGUCUGGUUAUUUCUGGUUAUUUAAUCGCUUGGAAUUAGCGUGUGUCACUUGCCCAGGGUAAAGUCGUACUGAGCCUUCUCCUUUCUCUCCUCAGUAUUUAUACUUCGGUAAACCAUUACCAAAAUGGUUUACCAUUUACCGAAAUGGUUUACCAUUUACCAUUUAGGUAAAAUACCUAAAUUACCAAAACCGGAAUUGGUAAUUACCAAAAUAAUGUUCGGAACGAUUGGUAAACGUUCAUGUACUUCAUUUGACAUGAACAAUCGAGGGGAGUUCCGAAUAUAAAUUCAAAACAUGGACGUUAAGAAUAAUAAAAAGUUAACAAUGUUUACACAAAGUUGUACAAGAAAUAUAAAAUAAAAACAGUCAAUAAACGGUAAGGUUUUAACAACAUCAUCACACAAUUUUUAGGGAAAACAAGUUCCAUUUCAAAGAACCCCCAUUUUGUUACACUCUCCCCACCUUUGAAAAAUAAUGUUUGCCCUCAAACAUGAAUAGCCAUUCCCUAAAAUUUAAAACAAGUUCUCCAAUAUUUUUCAUUAAAAUAUUCUAUAGCAUACAUAUUCAAAAUUAUAAAACAAUAUUUGAUCAAAAUAAAAUUCAAUCUUCUGAGUGUACAUUGUUCAUUUUCAUCUUCCCGCAAAGUUGAAGCUUCCGCACAGUUCUUUAUGAUCUUUUAAUUUUGUAAAUGUUCAUAUAGCACCAACAUUUCUUCUUCACAUGACGAUUGUUCAUAAAACACGAGUUCUGUUUAUUUUAACAAAUGUUUAUAGAACACAGACAUAUCUUCUUCACUUGACAAAUGUUCAUAAAACACCAACACAUCUUCUUCUCAUUACGAAAGUUCAUAAAAUACGAGUUCUGCUUAUUUUUAACAAAUGUUUAUAUAGAGUACUGACAAAUCUUCUUCACUUGACGUUCUAGACGAAUGUUCAUUAAACAGCAACACUUCUUCUUCUCGUUAUGCAUGUUUUCGCAUCAGAAAUACUAUGAUGAUUCUGUGUAUUCUGACAAAUGUUUAUAGAGCACCAUCAAAUAUUCUCUGCGGGACGAAUGAUCAUAUUGCGCUAUUUACAAAUAAUUUUCCUGAAAACAAAUUACAUAUUACACAACAAUCAUCAAAUGUACACAAUAUCAAUAAAAAUCUGAAAUAAUAUUACAUUUAAUUUACAAAAACUCUUUCCCUUAUCCAAUAAAUACAUGGACUUUUAUCUAUAAAAAUCAAACUCAAUAAUCAUUGAUACAAGUAUAUCUAUGUCAGCAAUAAUGAGACACGAUACCGAGUAUUUAUUAGACUGUGUUGGUAAUACAGCAGUCCCCAUCGGCAUAACUACGCUUCCAUUAGUCAUGCAGGGGUAUCCCACUACGUGUAUUGAUUAACACUGUC